AAUUUAAGGUUUAAUCUGCUCAAUGAUUAUUUAAAUUGCCGCAGUAUUUUGACUGUGCAAAGGUAGCAUAAUAAUUAGUUUCUUUAUUGGGAACUGGAAUGAAUGAUUGGACGAGAAAAUUUCUGUCUCUUUAUUAUUUUAAUUGAAUUUUACUUUUAAGUUAAAAGGCUUAAAUUUUAUUAGAGGACGAGAAGACCCUAUAGAGUUUAAUUUUUAUUUAAAUAAUUAUUUUUAGUAUUUAUAUAUAUUAUUUAAAUAAAAAUUUAGUUGGGGUGACUAAAAGAUAAGAAUAACUCUUUUAAUUUUUAUCAAUUAUUUUUGAUUAUAAAAUCUUUAUUUUUAAUUUUAAAAUAAAUUACCUUAGGGAUAACAGCGUAAUUCUUUUUUAAAGUUCUUAUUAAAAGAAGAGUUUGCGACCUCGAUGUUGGAUUAAAAUUAAUUUUAGGUGUAGAAGCUUGAAAAUUAAGUCUGUUCGACUUUUAAAAUUUUACAUGAUCUGAGUUUAAACCGGUGUGAGCCAGGUUGGUUUCUAUC
rnacentral:rRNA from 1 species